GGAUCGGGGUGCGUAACAUUAGCUUGUUGGUGAGGUAAAGGCUCACAAAGGCGAUGAUGUUUAGCGGGGUUGAGAGACUGAUCCGCCACACUGGGACUGAGAUACGGCCCAGACUCCUACGGGAGGCAGCAGUAGGGAAUUUUCCACAAUGGAAGAAAGUCUGAUGGAGCGACACAGCGUGCAGGAUGACGGCCUUCGGGUUGUAAACUGCUGUUAUAAGGGAAGAAAAAAUCAUAGAGG
rnacentral:rRNA from 1 species